UACGGAGGGGGCGAGCGUUGUCCGAAGUUACUGGGCGUAAAGCGCGCGUAGGCGGGUUGGUAAGUCCGCUGUGAAAGCCCGGAGCUCAACUCCGGAGGGUCGGUGGAUACUGCCAGUCUUGAAGGUGCUAGGGGGAGAUAGAAUUACCGGUGUAGCGGUGAAAUGCGUAGAUAUCGGUAGGAACACCAGUGGCGAAGGCGGUCUCCUGGGGCAUUCUUGACGCUGAGGCGCGAAAGCUGGGGGAGCGAACGGG
rnacentral:rRNA from 1 species